rnacentral:rRNA from 1 species
GAUGAACGCUGGCGGCGUGCUUAACACAUGCAAGUCGAACGAUGAAGCCCAGCUUGCUGGGUGGAUUAGUGGCGAACGGGUGAGUAACACGUGAGUAACCUGCCCUUAACUCUGGGAUAAGCCUGGGAAACUGGGUCUAAUACCGGAUAGGAGCGUCCACCGCAUGGUGGGUGUUGGAAAGAUUUAUCGGUUUUGGAUGGACUCGCGGCCUAUCAGCUUGUUGGUGAGGUAAUGGCUCACCAAGGCGACGACGGGUAGCCGGCCUGAGAGGGUGACCGGCCACACUGGGACUGAGACACGGCCCAGACUCCUACGGGAGGCAGCAGUGGGGAAUAUUGCACAAUGGGCGCAAACCUGAUGCAGCGACGCCGCGUGAGGGAUGACGGCCUUCGGGUUGUAAACCUCUUUCAGUAGGGAAGAAGCGAAAGUGACGGUACCUGCAGAAGAAGCACCGGCUAACUACGUG